UACUCUAAAACCGCGGAUGGCUCAUUAUAACAGCCCUGAUUUAAGAGAACUACUGUUUCAUUACUGCAAGAUAACUGUGGUAAUUCUAGAGCUAAUAUUUAUUAAAAUGCCGUGACUCACGAAGCGGCGGAUUUAUUAGAUCAAAACCAACCUGCUGCAAAGCGGUUAAUUGAUGAAUCUGGAUAACUUUACUGAUCGUACAACCUCAGCGUUGACGACAUAUCUCUUGAAAAGGCUGACCUAUCAACUUUCGAUGGUAAGAUCAAAGCUUACCCAUGGUUGUAACGGGUAACGGGGAWUCAGUGUUCGAUUCCGGAGAGGGAGCCUGAGAAACGGCUACCACAUCUACGGAAGGCAGCAGGCGCGUAAAUUACCCAAUACCGGCUCGGUGAGGUAGUGACAAAAAAUAAACAAUAUGGGCCCUAGUGGUUUCAUAAUUGCAAUGAGAACAUUUUAAAUACUUUAUCAAGUAUCAAUUGGAGGGCAAGUCUGGUGCCAGCAGCCGCGGUAAUUCCAGCUCCAAUAGCGUAUAUUAAAGUUGUUGCAGUUAAAAAGCUCGUAGUUGAAAUUGAGGAACAAUCUGGUCGGCGUGUCCGUCAGGGCUGCAGAUCGAUUGACCUUCUACGUCGUGUAUAUGUGCGUUGCUCUUCAAUGGGUGUCGUGCGUAACCGACAAGUUUACUUUGAAAAAAUUAGAGUGCUUAAAGCAGGCUUAUGCUUGUAUAUUGUUGCAUGGAAUAAUGGAAUAGGACUUCGGUUUUAUUUUGUUGGUUUUCUUAACUGAAGUAAUGAUUAAAAGAGACUGCCGGGGGCAUAUGUAUGCUGGUGGGAGAGGUGAAAUUCUAUGAUCGCCAGCAGACAAACUACUGCGAAAGCAUUUGCCAAGAAUGUUUUCAUUAAUCAAGAACGAAAGUCAGAGGAUCGAAGACGAUCAGAUACCGUCCUAGUUCUGACCAUAAACUAUGCCAACUGACAGUUAGUGAAGGUAGUUUUCACGUCCUCACUAGAAGUCACCGGGAAACCUAAGUCUAUGGGUUCCGGGGGAAGUAUGGUUGCAAAGCUGAAACUUAAAGGAAUUGACGGAAGGGCACCACCAGGAGUGGAGCCUGCGGCUUAAUUUGACUCAACACGGGAAAUCUCACCCGGUCCGGACACUGUGAGGAUUGACAGAUUGAUAGCUCUUUCUUGAUUCGGUGGGUGGUGGUGCAUGGCCGUUYUUAGUUGGUGGAGCGAUUUGUYUGGUUAAUUCCGAUAACGAACGAGACUCUGACCUGCUAACUAGUACACUCGUGUUUAAAUGCGAGUGCUGACUUCUUAGAGGAAUAAAUAGCUUUUAGCUAAAUGAAAUUGMGCAAUAACAGGUCUGUGAUSCCYUUAGAUGUCCGGGSCCGCACGCGCGCUACAAUGGCAGCMUCAGCGAGUUUGUCCUAGCUAGAUAUGGCCGGGUAAUCUGCUGAAACGCUGUCGUGUCAGGAAUAGUGGUUUGAAAUUUUUCCACUUGAACGAGGAAUUCCUAGUAAGCGCAAGUCACUAGCUUGCGCUGAUUACGUCCCUGCCCUUUGUACACACCGCCCGUCGCUAC
rnacentral:rRNA from 1 species